rnacentral:lncRNA from 1 species
AUGACUCCGAUGAAGAGAUCGCCCCGUAUAACAAGAGAAGAAAGUUAUAAUCUCACAAACCAAUUGCUAAAUUUCACCAAAGUGAUUGCUUUAAAAUAUUACUGGGAAGAAACUGGGAAUUUACAUCAAGAGUUCUAGAAAUGAGUUAAAGGGACAAAAUAGAAGAGGUAUUUGAAGCUCACUAGAGAAGAAACAUGAUGACUAUUUGACAUUGCUACCAUUGAAGAAGGUGAUGUUUCUCAUGAAAACAUACAUUUGCUUCUUUUCAAACCAUGGAGACCAAGAGCUAUGAUUGUGUGGAGCCCAAUAAAUGAAAGCCUGCUGACAAAAUGAUUUAAUACAGA